CAGGAUCGUCUUGGGAAAUGUCCUUAACAUCUUUUAAAAUUGAUGGGAUCUCAUAGACAGGAAUAAUCUGCACAAGAUGAUUGAUCUGUAUGGGAAAGACCAAGAGCAAGCUGAUGCACGUGAUAUAUAACCAUAGACUGAGAUGUAGGAAGAUGGAUCUUGCCCAGUCUUGCUCAGUACAUUGCCUGAGGCUGCUUGACUGGUAGCUACCAAGAUGGCCGGUGUCAGGUGGAUGGGC
rnacentral:lncRNA from 1 species